rnacentral:rRNA from 1 species
CCUACGGGUGGCUGCAGUGGGGAAUAUUGCACAAUGGGCGCAAGCCUGAUGCAGCCAUGCCGCGUGUGUGAAGAAGGCCUUCGGGUUGUAAAGCACUUUCAGCGGGGAGGAAGGCGUUAAGGUUAAUAACCUUGUCGAUUGACGUUACCCGCAGAAGAAGCACCGGCUAACUCCGUGCCAGCAGCCGCGGUAAUACGGAGGGUGCAAGCGUUAAUCGGAAUUACUGGGCGUAAAGCGCACGCAGGCGGUCUGUCAAGUCGGAUGUGAAAUCCCCGAGCUCAACCUGGGAACUGCAUUCGAAACUGGCAGGCUAGAGUCUUGUAGAGGGGGGUAGAAGUCCAGGUGUAGCGGUGAAAUGCGUAGAGAUCUGGAGGAAUACCGGGGGCGAAGGCGGCCCCCUGGACAAAGACUGACGCUCAGGUGCGAAAGCGUGGGGAGCAAACAGGAUUAGAUACCCGAGUAGUC